rnacentral:rRNA from 1 species
UACAGAGGGCGCAAGCGUUGUUCGGAUUCACUGGGCAUAAAGAGCACGUAGGCGGCUACGUAAGUCGGAUGUGAAAUCCCCCGGCUCAACCGGGGAAUGGCAUCCGAUACUGCGUGACUCGAGGUUGGGAGGGGUGAGCGGAACUCCAGGUGGAACGGUGAAAUGUGUAGAUAUCUGGAGGAACACCGGUGGCGAAGGCGGCUCACUGGCCCGAAACUGACGCUGAGGUGCGAAAGCUAGGGGAGCGAACGGG